GGAGGGGUUCCCGAGUGGUCAAAGGGAGCAGACUGUAAAUCUGCCGGCGCAGCCUUCGCAGGUUCGAAUCCUGCCCCCUCCACCA
rnacentral:tRNA from 1 species